rnacentral:rRNA from 1 species
GGGUUGUGAGGUUAAGCGACUAAGCGUACACGGUGGAUGCCCUGGCAGUCAGAGGCGAUGAAGGACGUGCUAAUCUGCGAUAAGCGUCGGUAAGGUGAUAUGAACCGUUAUAACCGGCGAUUUCCGAAUGGGGAAACCCAGUGUGAUUCGUCACACUAUCAUUAACUGAAUCCAUAGGUUAAUGAGGCGAACCGGGGGAACUGAAACAUCUAAGUACCCCGAGGAAAAGAAAUCAACCGAGAUUCCCCCAGUAGCGGCGAGCGAACGGGGAGCAGCCCAGAGCCUGAAUCAGUGUGUGUGUUAGUGGAAGCGUCUGGAAAGGCGCGCGAUACAGGGUGACAGCCCCGUACACAAAAAUGCACAUAUUGUGAGCUCGAUGAGUAGGGCGGGACACGUGGUAUCCUGUCUGAAUAUGGGGGGCCCAUCCUCCAAGGCUAAAUACUCCUGACUGACCGAUAGUGAACCAGUACCGUGAGGGAAAGGCGAAAAGAACCCCGGCGAGGGGAGUGAAAAAGAACCUGAAACCGUGUACGUACAAGCAGUGGGAGCACGCUUAGGCGUGUGACUGCGUACCUUUUGUAUAAUGGGUCAGCGACUUAUAUUCUGUAGCAAGGUUAACCGAAUAGGGGAGCCGAAGGGAAACCGAGUCUUAACUGGGCGUUAAGUU